ensembl:lncRNA novel transcript
AAGGUAAGAACAAAAUAACCACAUCUUAAGUACAGUUUGACUUUCAUGACUAAAGAUAAAAAUUACAGGGAGGUAGGAUUUUAUUUCACUAUAAAGAUGAACUUCCUAACGAAAUGAGAAACUGAUUACAUCUGCUUAUUUGGACAGUGAAUGGAACCACAUAUUCUGCCUGUUGGCAAACACCAAAUCUGUAUAGUUUAUUUUCUUCAAAGGGAAUCAUGAUUGCCAACAAUCACUCAGCACCAACAAUUUACUGAAUGUUUAUCUGCCUGCAUUCUUCUUGUGGCUGGAAAUGUAGCAGUGAACCAGACCGAGACCCUGAUCCGCUGGGUAUAUAGCUGGGGGAGUCAGACAUUCAUGAAAAUGACUUCUAGUGCCACAGAUAUUUCAAAAGAUGCAGUAAAGAGUUCUGUGGGUCUGAAUGAUAUGGUGUGCUAACCAAAUAUGUGAAGGUGGCGAAGGUCUCCUAGAAGAAUUGGUGCAAAACUUGAGUCUCAAAGGAUGAGCUGGGUGAGGAGUUGGGCACAGUAUUCUGGGCAGUGGGAACAUCAUGGACAGAAGCCUGAAUGCAGCGGAGAGACUGACUCACUUGUGGGCAUGAAGGAGAUCAGCAUGACUGGAUUGGAGCUCACUUCCUGGUGUUUUCACCUCAUUGCAUGUAAGCAUCAAUGGACCUACCCCUGCUUCUGGCCAUAUCAAACAGUUCAAUAGUUUGGCAUCUUUGUGAUCA